UACGUAGGGACCAAGCGUUGUCCGGAAUCAUUGGCGUAAAGAGCGUGUAGGCGGCUUGUUAAGUCUUGCGUGAAAUCUCGGGGCUCAACCCCGAGCGGUCGUGAGAAACUGGCAGGCUAGAGUGCGGGAGAGGAGAGUGGAAUUCCUGGUGUAGCGGUGAAAUGCGCAGAUAUCAGGAAGAACACCCGUGGCGAAGGCGGCUCUCUGGAACGCAACUGACGCUGAGACGCGAAAGCGUGGGAGCAAACAGG
rnacentral:rRNA from 1 species